ensembl:lncRNA
UGUUGCGCCUUCAGCAAGUAAAAUAGGAAAAGAAACUUUACCACAAUUUCCUGUGCCAAACCUCUGUCUCAAAGUGUUCCUUAUUCUCAAGAACAUUCCGUGUUCCUUACUUCUGUCUGAACAGACAAUCAAAUUAUAGAAAUUACAGAAAAUGAUUGCAAGUAGAGGUUUUACAAUUGUUUUGAUAUUGUCUACAACAAGUAAGUACUGAUUUAAUGAUCUAUAAACACUAUCUUAAAUUAUACUAUCAACAUGCCCUACUGUCACAAAUAUCACAUAGAACAUCUGUAGUACCAGUUUAGUCUUUGUAGCUUCAAAAGUAAAUGUACACAAUAAGAUGCAUUUACAAUAAAAUAUACUUGCAUGUAUGCUCACUCUCUCUCUCUUAUAUAUAUUAGGGCUGUCAAUCGAUUAAAAAAAAUUAAUUAAUCGCACAUUUUGAAAUUAAUUAAUGUUGUUUAACACUGUUGUUUAAUUGUUGUUUAAUUGUAUUUUUUUUUAAAACACAAUGGUGCCCCUCGACGGUAAAUCGAUCAUCUAACCUGGGACUGCUUUCUGUCGGGUGCUUUGCAUUAAGGUGAUAACUUAAAGGCGAGCUGCUUCUGUGAUAGCUUAAUUCAGCUUGACAAAUGCUAUACAACUUUUGUUGAUUGUUCCGUCAUUUUGGCUCUUAAACAGAGACUUUCCGCCCAACAAUCCCUCAGCUCUCUCUAUCUUCAACUACCGCAGUGGUUCUCAAACUUUUUCUGUCAUUCCCCACUUUGAUUAAGGGGGGCUUUUCAAGCUCCACCUGUCCCUCAUCGCUCCCAUAAAAUGGUAGGCCAAGCUUCAAAGAAAAGAGAGGAACAGAUCAUAAACAUAACAAAAUACACAGAUACAGCGAAAGAUCAAAACCAAGUUAGGAAGAACCUCUUCUUUCCAUUUCAGCUUCUACUCCAACCUCAAAUGAAGACCUCUCGGUGGAGUAUGCAGCUUCUAUUUGUCAGGCUUUUCUCGGGGAUUGCACCCGAGAUGCUGGAUGUGGGGAACCAGCGCUUAGCCCAGUGUGCUAAUGAGAGGACCCAAUGGCAGGAUGAUGUUCUCAAUGGUUCUUUUAUUGAGAAACAAGGAUGCUUCAACAGCGAGAAACAAACACACAGAAGAUAAUCCAAACUCAGGAGAUAAUCCAAAAGCACAGAGGAUAUGAACAGGGCAAAAGGCCAUAAACUAAACAAGAUACAAAAUGUAGCUUUCACAAUAGCUACCUGAUGAAGGCUUUAAGAAGCCGAAAGCGGUUAGGGACCGCAACGAGAGACAGAAGCGGUGUGAGAACCGCAACAAGACACCAACCGGAACUAGCUAAGACUAGCGGCACCUGAGUGCGUGCGAUGGCUGCGUGUCCUUGAGGAAAGACUUCUAACGACCCGAUCAGGGCCACAGAGAUUAGCCAGGUAUUUAUACCCUGGCUAAUAGAGGGAAGUGACAAUCACAAAAACGCAAGACAGGUGAGAGCACACAAUGGGGAACAGGUGAGAACACAAAUCACAAUGGGGAACAGGUGAGGGCACACAAAGACAACAAAGGCACAUGUGGACACAAAUUAGUUCAUGAUGUCCCUUGGCCACCAGAGGCCGCCAAUGUGCCAAAUGGUUGCCCGAAGUCGUGACACUACUCCAACCUCAUAUGAAGACUUAUCAGUGGAUGACUACUAUGAGUUUUUAAGUUUUUUAGAAUACAACCAUCUAUUUAAUGACUUGACAGAACCAAGUAAGUACCUGUAUCUGAUUCACAGCACAAAUUAGCAAUAUUCAAAUUGUAAGGCUCAAGGCCCGUUUGUUUUUUUUUGUUUCUGAAAUAUACUUAUAUUAGUGGAUCCAGUGGAGCAUUUACAUAUUUGAAUGACACUAUUGCAAAGAUCUUCCCUAAAUUCUAUGAGAUGUUUUUUUUUGCUUUUUAUUGUAUAUAUAUCGUUUAAACUGAAAAUGUCAUAGCACUUUCCUUGUGCAUUUCAGCCUUUUCAAAUCCCCAUGUCAGACUGGCCAGAUGGAUGGACAGUGAUGACAAUUUCAUCGUUGGAUGUGUCCAUGAGAGUCACCUAGAAGGCUGGAUCUUCUUGAGUGUAAUAGGAGGAACAAACGUCACUGUACUUGACCCAAAUGUCACCACAGCAGCGUGAUCCUUCUUUGAUAUUACUAUGACGCCACCUGUCUCUAUCACCUGUGUACUUGAACUGCAUGGGGAAAACCUAACUAGUGAAAAGUUCACACUCCCCCAUUAUGGUGAGUCAUGGUAUACUAUGACAUAUACAGUGAAACACAACCAGUGCUUUUUGGCAGACAUGUGAGGGGUGUAUAUGGGAUGGAUUCAGCCUUGGCACUGAUAGCAGGGAGAGGUUGAGAUAUUUGUAUGUCCUCGUGAGAAGGUGAAAUCCCUCCCCCUUCUCACCAUGGCCCAAAAGGGG